rnacentral:rRNA from 1 species
UACGGGGGGGAGCAAGCGUUGUUCGGAUUUACUGGGCGUAAAGGGCGCGUAGGCGGUCGUGACAAGUCACUUGUGAAAUCUCCGGGCUUAACCCGGAAAGGUCAGCCGAUACUGCAGGGCUAGAGUGCAGAAGGGGCAACUGGAAUUCUCGGUGUAGCGGUGAAAUGCGUAGAUAUCGAGAGGAACACCUGCGGCGAAGGCGG